rnacentral:tRNA from 1 species
AGUGAGUUGGCAGAAUAGUGCAAUCGACUUAGGAUCGGUUUAUGGGUAAGCCCACACACUA